rnacentral:rRNA from 1 species
AUUGAACGCUGGCGGCAUGCCUUACACAUGCAAGUCGAACGGCAGCACGGGAGCAAUCCUGGUGGCGAGUGGCGAACGGGUGAGUAAAGUAUCGGAACGUGCCCAGUCGUGGGGGAUAACGUAGCGAAAGUUACGCUAAUACCGCAUACGAUCUAUGGAUGAAAGCGGGAGAUCGCAAGACCUCGCGCGAUUGGAGCGGCCGAUAUCAGAUUAGGUAGUUGGUGGGGUAAAGGCUCACCAAGCCGACGAUCUGUAGCUGGUCUGAGAGGACGACCAGCCACACUGGGACUGAGACACGGCCCAGACUCCUACGGGAGGCAGCAAUGGGGAAUUUUGGACAAUGGGCGAAAGCCUGAUCCAGCCAUGCCGCGUGCAGGAUGAAGGCCUUCGGGUUGUAAACUGCUUUUGUACGGAACGAAAAGGUUUGGCCUAAUAAGCUGAGCUCAUGACGGUACCGUAAGAAUAAGCACCGGCUAACUACGUGCCAGCAGCCGCCGUAA